rnacentral:rRNA from 1 species
UACGUAGGGUGCAAGCGUUAAUCGGAAUUACUGGGCGUAAAGCGUGCGCAGGCGGUUUCGUAAGUCUGUCGUGAAAUCCCCGGGCUUAACCUGGGAAUGGCGAUGGAGACUGCGAGGCUAGAGUUUGGCAGAGGGGGGUAGAAUUCCACGUGUAGCAGUGGAAAUGCGUAGAGAUGUGGAGGAACACCGAUGGCGAAGGCAGCCCCCUGGGUCAAAACUGACGCUCAUGACACGGAAAGCGUGGGGAGCAAACAGG